GGCGCACGGGUGAGUAUCGCGUAUACAAUCUGCCUCAUACUAGGGAAUAGCCCGAAGAAAUUUGGAUUAAUGCCCUAUAGUAUCUUUUUAAGGCAUCUUAUUAAGAUUAAAGGUUACGGUAUGAGAUGAGUAUGCGUUCUAUUAGCUAGUAGGUGUGGUAACGGCACACCUAGGCUACGAUAGAUAGGGGCCCUGAGAGGGGGAUCCCCCACACUGGUACUGAGACACGGACCAGACUCCUACGGGAGGCAGCAGUAAGGAAUAUUGGUCAAUGGACGAAAGUCUGAACCAGCCAUGCCGCGUGCAGGAUGACUGCCCUAUGGGUUGUAAACUGCUUUUAUAUAGGAAGAAAAACUUUCUCGUGAGA
rnacentral:rRNA from 1 species